rnacentral:lncRNA from 1 species
AGUUUGUGUUUGGAAUUGGAUCCAGUUGUACCGAUUUACUCCACUGUUUGCUACAAGAUUCAGCAGCUGUUCCGUGUGGGGGCCCCUGUUCCUGCUGUUCCCAGGCACCCGCUGGCAGGACAAAGCACCUUUCCCCAGGUACCGUUCCUCCAAUCUGCCCUUACACAAAUGUACCACAAAAUUCUCUUCAGCCUGGGAGUGUGGCAGGAAGAAGAGCUACUGGAUGCAUGGCUACAUUAGGAAGACCCAGAUGGAAGGGAAACUGGGCAAGCAAAUGAGUCUCUCUGGGGAUCAUGUGAUCGAAAUGUUUGUGGAAAAAAACAUACCCCAGACCAGAAGACAGAGUUAAGUAAAUGUUCAGUGUUGUUCUCAUAAUCUCUGCUCUUUGUAAAAGACAAUUAUCUCUGUUCCCUGUUUGCCUCUGACGGACUGUCUAGAAUAUCAAGCGAGGAAUGACAAGCCAUAUUUAUCUGUAAUGAUCAAAACUGAGUAUCACUCUUUCCUCCUCAAUUUAGAGGACUCCUUAUAAUUAACUGAUGAGCUGUCCCCAAGACAGUGCCAUUUAGAGUUGUUACUGACUCUAAUUGGGGAGAAAUGCAUUUGGAACGUUCCAAUUAGAAGCAUUUUUUUUUUCUGCUGUUCUUGUACAUACAUUCAAAGGGAGCGCCUGAGCGUCCAUGCCUUUUGUUUGGGCGGGAGGGGGGCUUGUAGCUUGAUGGAUUGUUUCUGUUUAUACUUAAGUAAAUAUUACAAAUGAAGCUCCUGUGAGCUCUAGAGUAACAAGAGGACCACAGGAGGAAACAGCAGACACAUUUUUCUCUUCAUUAUCAUAAUGAUCAUUAUUAUAGUGGAAAUGGGAUAUUUUGAAGAUGCUGUUGAAAGCACUCCUAAUUCCGUAUAUAGUGGAGGCCUCCUGAUAUUUUGUCUUUGGUUGUGUUUUUGAGAUAAUUACUAAGUAGGCCAGGAUGGGCUGGGACUUGCUCUGCAGAACUCAAGGCCACUUGUAUGUUUUGAUUUCCCACUCCUCCCUAUUUCUUUAUGGAGUUAUGAAGAACUUAGAACUUCAAAGCCAGCAUGGGUGUGUGUUUUCCCAAGUGCAAGAUAGCAGUCUGUGCUGUGGGGUUAAUUUACUCAUCAAACGACUAUGGGAAUAUUGGGGGUUUGUUUUUUGUUUUUUGUUUUUUAGUUGAAGACAUCAACAUAUAGCCAACCAUGGGAGACUGAGGCUGCCUCUGAGUCUCCAGCCCAGAGACGUCAGAGUUGAAGGGGUUCAUCUUUCUGGUGGGAAUCUUUAACCGUGCCUUAUUAAAUACAUUAAACUUUAUUUUCCAAAUUGCCGA